GACGAACGCUGGCGGCGUGCUUAACACAUGCAAGUCGAACGGAAAGGCCCUGCUUUUGUGGUGUGCUCGAGUGGCGAACGGGUGAGUAACACGUGAGUAACCUGCCCGUGACUUUGGGAUAACUUCAGGAAACUGGGGCAAAUACCGGAUAGGAGCUCCUGCUGCAUGGUGGGGGUUUGAAAGUUUAGGCGGUUGGGGCUGGAUUGGCGGCUUAUCAGCUUGUUGGGGGGGUAGUGGCUUACCAAGGCUUUGACGGGUAGCCGGCCUGAGAGCGUGAACGGGCACAUUGGGCCUGAGAGACGGACGAGAGUGCUACGGGAGACAGCAGUGGGGAACAUUGCCCAACGGGCGGAAGCCUGAUGCAGCAACGCCGCGUGUGGGAAGACGGCCUUCGGGUAGUGAACCGCUUUCGCCUGUGACGAAGCGUGAGUGACGGUACUGGGUAAAGAAGCACCGGCUAACUACGUG
rnacentral:rRNA from 1 species